AUGAGGAUUGGACAAACUAAAUCUUUUCUUUUGCCCGAACAGCACUGGAUCCAUCUGUUGAUAUUCGUUAUAACCCUUAUAACAGGGGCCUUGACAGAUGAAGAUGUGAUAAAAGCUCUGUUGGGUGGGAGUGCGUCUUUUAAAUUUAAGGUUACAACAGGCAUGAAAGUAACCCUAGCUGUAUGGAAAAAGUGUCCGGAUCAGAAGGUUUUUGUGUUCAGCCCCAUCCAUGGACUUAAAAUAUUUGACAACAACUAUGCUGAUCGUCUUUCCAUAAAAUCUAAUCACAGCAUUCUACUGGAUAAAUUACAAGAGAGUGACUUUGUGACUUACUGUUACGAACUCACAACUUUCCCAAAUGGGAGUCUUCAAGGACAAAAUAAGCUAGAGAAAACGACAGAAAAUGGUGAUGUGCCCAUCAUGAUAAUCUCCGUGGGUUGCAGUAUAGGUUUAAUAGUAUUAUGUGGAAUCAUCGCAGGAGUGGUUUGCUAUAAGAAGAGGAAAAGCAACACUGUGUUAAAUCCUGGAGGACCUCCUGGCAGUCAGCCCUCUGUGCGGCUGAAAAAUAAGAAGCGACCCAAGCGCAUACGCUCACAGAAUGAAGAAGAGGUGGAGAUUGAAGACUUCAAUUACCUGAAUAUGAAUUAAGAUAACACACAUUAUGUCUAUAAUGGAUAUUACUGUGAAUAUUUUUUUUUAUAUAUAUAAUUGACUGCUUUAAUGACAAAAAAGAAGUCAGAAAAAUGCCAUGGGCAACAAUAAUCCCAUAUGGAUUGUUAUAUGCACUCUUUUCUUUCUAGCUUUUAAAUAGACUUUAGUUCAUUCUUAUUUUUGUAUUAAUUUUUAUUUUGUAAUACUACUUUUAUAGUACUACUUUUAUUUGUCUGUGGCAGUAAACAUUUUGUGUCUUUGUUUUUGUUUUGUUGUGCAUGUUGUUCUUUUUCCAUCAAGAUAACUUAAAAAAUAUGAUUAGGAUGAUUAGAUGAUGUUUAUUGGUAGUUGUGUUUUAGUCAUUGAUCUGGCCUCAGUCAAAAGCAUGCUGCUAACAUCAUUAUACUCUAACUGAGUUGCAGUUAUGAUUAAAGUCUUGCCUGAAGUGUGUCAAGUAAUGAUCACUGUAACUUGAAGAAGUCAAAAGUGCAAACAAUCAUCUUAAUUCAUCCUACCAACUUGCAUUACCCUUGUUGUUCAGAUGGUGGCAGUGUACAAGAUUGAAUGAUUCCACGCAAGGCUGCGUUGCAUAUAAAUAUCUCUAUGGAUUUUUGUGAAAUAUUACCACUUCCAAAAGUAUUAUUAACAAUAAUGUCAUUAGUAACUUAGCAGAAGUUUCAACUUUUGUGAGCAGAAAUGGCAUUAGUUGCAUGUUGACUUUUUAUUCAGUUUCUUCAGUUAUUCAGUUAACCACAAGAAAAGUCACUUCCUGACUUCUGAGUGAUCUUUCAGCCCAUCAGCAGGAGGAGCAGAAUGGUCUCUUUUUUUUUGUGUUGCAUUGUUUGAAGUCUGAUUUCCACUCGGUUUGAUCUUUUGUUCUGACUCCUCUCAGAUUCUGAUGACAUCACUGCUGACUGACUGAAUUAAUCAUGACAGCAUAUUCACACAAUAGUCAUUAACAUAUACUACAGAUGUCACAUCUCACUGCUUCCUCUUCAGAAAUGCAAACAUACAAAUAAAGAGCUCUUGCACAAAGCCA
ensembl:lncRNA